GAACUAUUUUUCUUCCUUCACCAAGGUGGUGGAGGGUUACUAGGUUCCGGUGGAGUGACGUGUCCCUUUGCAAUAAAUACCGGCGCUCCGGGCUCUGCGUCAGGCAUUCAGGCAGCGAGAGCAGAGCAGCGUAGAGCAGCACAGCUGAGCUCGUGAGGCAGGAGACUCAGCCCGAGGAAAUCGCAGAUAAGUUUUUAAUUAAAAAGAUUGAGCAGUAAAAAGAAUUAGAACUCUAAACUUAAGCUAAUAGAGUAGCUUAUCGAAAUAUUACUUAGUCUUAAUAAUCUAAGAAGAUCUUAAGAGAUAACAUGAAGGCUUAUUUAAACAGUUUGAAAAAGGAAAUGAGGAGAAAAGUAUUUGUACUGUAUAAUGGAGGCUGACCAGAGCAGUUUAGGAGAUUGUAAAGGGAGGUUUUGUGAAGUUCUAAAAGGUUCUAGUUUGAAGGUCGGCCUUGUAGAUUAAAACGAAGGUUACCUAAAUAGAAUCUAAGUGGCAUUUAAAACAGUAAAGUUGUAGAGAAUAGUUUGAAAAUGAGGUGUAGUUUUAAAAGAUUGAGAAAAGUAGGUUAAGUUGACGGCCGUUAUAAAAAUCCUUCGACUGGCGCAUGUACGUUUGAAGGCAUGAGUUGGAAACAGGGAAGAUGGAAGUGUUAGGCUAGCCGGGCGAUGGUGGCGCACGCCUUUAAUCCUAGCACUUGGGAGGCAGAGGCAGGCGGAUUUCUGAGUUCGAGGCCAGCCUGGUCUACAGAGUGAGUUCCAGGACAGCCAGGGCUACACAGAGAAACCCUGUCUUGAAAAAACAAAAAGGUUAGGCUAGUAUUUGGAGAAAGAAGAUUAGAAAAUGGAAGUGAAAGACGAAGAAGACAUACAGGAAGGUGAAGAAAAAGCUGUUAGAGAAGAUAGGAAAAUAGAAGACAAAGCAUCUUUAGAAGACAGAAAAGGUACUUAAAGGCACAGGUAGUAGGAAGCCGAAGAAUAGAAGAUAGAAAGAAGCAAGAUAGAAAAACAAAAUGGAAGUUAAGACAACUUUGGAUGCCAGCAUUCAAGAUAGGCAAAGAAGAUAAGAUUGAGGCCAAAAGGUUGGAUAAGAUAUAAAGUCAGAAGGAAAUUAUCUUUAAAGCCAUAAGUUCAAAUUUCUGAUGGAGCGAGCAGUUUAGAAGAGUCUUUAGACAGCCACAUACAAGAUUGAAGCUAGCAAUCAAAGCUACUAGGACUGAAGUAAAAAGUUAAGGCAGAAUGCCUUUGAAGAGUUAGAAGAAUAUUAAAAGCCUUAACUUGUAGCUUAAUUUUGCUUGAUGACAAAAGGACUUUUGAUAACAGUUUCAAGAUUGUCAGCAUUUUGCAUUGGACUUGAGCUGAGGUGCUUUUAAAAUCCUAACGACUAGCAUUGGCAGCUGACCCAGGUCUACACAGAAGUGCAUUCAGUGAACUAGGAAGACAGGAGCGGCAGACAGGAGUCCCGAAGCCAGUUUGGUGAAGCUAGGAAGGACUGAGGAGCCAGCAGCAGCAGUGCAUGGUGAAGAUAGCCCAGGAAAGAGUGCGGUUCGGUGGAGGAAGCUAGGAAGAAGGAGCCAUACGGAUGUGGUGGUGAAGCUGGGAAAGGGUUCCAGGAUGGUGGAGCGAGAGCGAGUUGGUGAUGAAGCUAGCUGGCGGCUUGGCUUGUCAACUGCGCGGAGGAGGCGAGCAGGCAUUGUGGAGAGGAUAGAUAGCGGCUCCUAGACCAGCAUGCCAGUGUGCAAGAAAGGCUGCAGGGAGAGCAUGCGGUGCGGUAACAUUCCUUGAGGUCGGCAACAUGGUGGUGGUUUUCUGUAACUUGGAUGGUAACUUGUUUACUUUGUCUUAAUAGUUAUGGGGGAGUUGUAGGCUUCUGUGUAAAGAGAUAUAUCUGGGGCUGUAUGUAGGCCUUUGCGGGUGUUGUAGGUUUUUCUUUUUCAGGGUUAUGUCCUCUUGCAUCUUGUCAGAAGCUUUUGAGGGCUGACUGCCAAGGCCCAGAAAGAAGAAUGGUAGAUGGCAAGUUGUCUUUAACCGCUCAGAGGGGAAUGAAUGGUAGAGCCAGCACAACCUCCCAGUUUUGUAAGACGUUGUAGUUUGAACAGAUGACCUACCACAAGCCUCACUCCUGUGUAGGGGAGGUAAUUGGGCAAAGUGCUUUUGGGGGAAUGGGGGCAAAAUAUAUUUUGAGUUCUUUUCCCCUUAGGUCUGUCUAGAAUCCUAAAGGCAGAUGACUCAAGGGAACCAGAAAAAAGGAAAUCCACUCUCAGGAUAAGCAGAGCUCGCCAGGUUUACAGUUUGUAGGAAGUAGAGGAUGGAUGCUAGCUUUCACACUGAGUGUGGAGGAGCUGGCCAUGGCGGAAUUGCUGGUAGUUUACUCUUUCCCCCUCCCUUAAUGAGAUUUGUAAAAUCCUAAACACUUUUACUUGAAAUAUUUGGGAGUGGUCUUAACAGGGAGGAGUGGGUGGGGGAAACGUUUUUUUUCUAAGAUUUUCCACAGAUGCUAUAGUUGUGUUGACACACUGGGUUAGAGAAGGCGUGUACUGCUAUGCUGUUGGCACGACACCUUCAGGGACUGGAGCUGCCUUUUGUCCUUGGAAGAGUUUUCCCAGUUGCCGCUGAAGUCAGCACAGUGCGGCUUUGGUUCACAGUCACCUCAGGAGAACCUCAGGAGCUUGGCUAGGCCAGAGGUUGAAGUUAAGUUUUACAGCACCGUGAUUUAAAAUAUUUCAUUAAAGGGGAGGGGUAAAACUUAGUUGGCUGUGGCCUUGUGUUUGGGUGGGUGGGGGUGUUAGGUAAUUGUUUAGUUUAUGAUUUCAGAUAAUCAUACCAGAGAACUUAAAUAUUUGGAAAAACAGGAAAUCUCAGCUUUCAAGUUGGCAAGUAACUCCCAAUCCAGUUUUUGCUUCUUUUUUCCUUUUUCUUUUUUUGAGGCGGGCAGCUAAGGAAGGUUGGUUCCUCUGCCGGUCCCUCGAAAGCGUAGGGCUUGGGGGUUGGUCUGGUCCACUGGGAUGAUGUGAUGCUACAGUGGGGACUCUUCUGAAGCUGUUGGAUGAAUAUAGAUUGUAGUGUGUGGUUCUCUUUUGAAAUUUUUUUCAGGUGACUUAAUGUAUCUUAAUAACUACUAUAGGAACAAAGGAAGUGGCUUUAAUGACCCUGAAGGAAUUUCUUCUGGUGAUAGCUUUUAUAUUAUCAAGUAAGAGAUACUAUCUCAGUUUUGUAUAAGCAAGUCUUUUUCCUAGUGUAGGAGAAAUGAUUUUCCUUGUGACUAAACAAGAUGUAAAGGUAUGCUUUUUUUCUUCUUGUGCAUUGUAUACUUGUGUUUAUUUGUAACUUAUAAUUUAAGAAUUAUGAUAAUUCAGCCUGAAUGUCUUUUAGAGGGUGGGCUUUUGUUGAUGAGGGAGGGGAAACCUUUUUUUUUCUGUAGACCUUUUUCAGAUAACACCAUCUGAGUCAUAACCAGCCUGGCAGUGUGAUGACGUAGAUGCAGAGGGAGCAGCUCCUUGGUGAAUGAGUGAUAAGUAAAGGCAGAAAAAAUAAUGUCAUGUCUCCAUGGGGAAUGAGCAUGAGCCAGAGAUUGUUCCUACUGAUGAAAAGCUGCAUAUGCAAAAAUUUAAGCAAAUGAAAGCAACCAGUAUAAAGUUAUGGCAAUACCUUUAAAAGUUAUGGCUUAUCUACCAAGCUUUAUCCACAAAAGUAAAGAAUUGAUGAAAAACAGUGAAGAUCAAAUGUUCAUCUCAAAACUGCUUUUACAAAAGCAGAAUAGAAAUGAAGUGAAAAUGCUGCAUUAAGCCUGGAGUAAAAAGAAGCUGAGCUUGUUGAGAUGAGUGGGAUCGAGCGGCUGCGAGGCGGUGCAGUGUGCCAAUGUUUCGUUUGCCUCAGACAGGUUUCUCUUCAUAAGCAGAAGAGUUGCUUCAUUCCAUCUCGGAGCAGGAAACAGCAGACUGCUGUUGACAGAUAAGUGUAACUUGGAUCUGCAGUAUUGCAUGUUAGGGAUAGAUAAGUGCCUUUUUUCUCUUUUUCCAAAAAGACCUGUAGAGCUGUUGAAUGUUUGCAGCUGGCCCCUCUUAGGCAGUUCAGAAUUUUGAGUAGUUUUCCCAUCCAGCCUCUUAAAAAUUCCUAAGCCUUGCACCGAUGGGCUUUCAUGAUGGGAUAGCUAAUAGGCUUUUGCAUCGUAAACUUCAACACAAAAGCCUACAUGAUUAAUGCCUACUUUAAUUACAUUGCUUACAAGAUUAAGGAAUCUUUAUCUUGAAGACCCCAUGAAAGGGAUCAUUAUGUGCUGAAAAUUAGAUGUUCAUAUUGCUAAAAUUUAAAUGUGCUCCAAUGUACUUGUGCUUAAAAUCAUUAAAUUAUACAAAUUAAUAAAAUACUUCACUAGAGAAUGUAUGUAUUUAGAAGGCUGUCUCCUUAUUUAAAUAAAGUCUUGUUUGUUGUCUGUAGUUAGUGUGGGCAAUUUUGGGGGGAUGUUCUUCUCUAAUCUUUUCAGAAACUUGACUUCGAACACUUAAGUGGACCAGAUCAGGAUUUGAGCCAGAAGACCGAAAUUAACUUUAAGGCAGGAAAGACAAAUUUUAUUCUCCAUGCAGUGAUGAGCAUUUAAUAAUUGCAGGCCUGGCAUAGAGGCCGUCUAACUAAGGACUAAGUACCUUAGGCAGGUGGGAGAUGAUGGUCAGAGUAAAAGGUAACUACAUAUUUUGUUUCCAGAAAGUCAGGGGUCUAAUUUGACCAUGGCUAAACAUCUAGGAGCCUCAUUUCAUCCUUCAUGGAGCUGCUCAGGACUUUGCAUAUAAGCGCUUGCCUCUGUCUUCUGUUCUGCUAGUGAGUGUGUGAUGUGAGACCUUGCAGUGAGUUUGUUUUUCCUGGAAUGUGGAGGGAGGGGGGGAUGGGGCUUACUUGUUCUAGCUUUUUUUUUACAGACCACACAGAAUGCAGGUGUCUUGACUUCAGGUCAUGUCUGUUCUUUGGCAAGUAAUAUGUGCAGUACUGUUCCAAUCUGCUGCUAUUAGAAUGCAUUGUGACGCGACUGGAGUAUGAUUAAAGAAAGUUGUGUUUCCCCAAGUGUUUGGAGUAGUGGUUGUUGGAGGAAAAGCCAUGAGUAACAGGCUGAGUGUUGAGGAAAUGGCUCUCUGCAGCUUUAAGUAACCCGUGUUUGUGAUUGGAGCCGAGUCCCUUUGCUGUGCUGCCUUAGGUAAAUGUUUUUGUUCAUUUCUGGUGAGGGGGGUUGGGAGCACUGAAGCCUUUAGUCUCUUCCAGAUUCAACUUAAAAUCUGACAAGAAAUAAAUCAGACAAGCAACAUUCUUGAAGAAAUUUUAACUGGCAAGUGGAAAUGUUUUGAACAGUUCCGUGGUCUUUAGUGCAUUAUCUUUGUGUAGGUGUUCUCUCUCCCCUCCCUUGGUCUUAAUUCUUACAUGCAGGAACAUUGACAACAGCAGACAUCUAUCUAUUCAAGGGGCCAGAGAAUCCAGACCCAGUAAGGAAAAAUAGCCCAUUUACUUUAAAUCGAUAAGUGAAGCAGACAUGCCAUUUUCAGUGUGGGGAUUGGGAAGCCCUAGUUCUUUCAGAUGUACUUCAGACUGUAGAAGGAGCUUCCAGUUGAAUUGAAAUUCACCAGUGGACAAAAUGAGGACAACAGGUGAACGAGCCUUUUCUUGUUUAAGAUUAGCUACUGGUAAUCUAGUGUUGAAUCCUCUCCAGCUUCAUGCUGGAGCAGCUAGCAUGUGAUGUAAUGUUGGCCUUGGGGUGGAGGGGUGAGGUGGGCGCUAAGCCUUUUUUUAAGAUUUUUCAGGUACCCCUCACUAAAGGCACUGAAGGCUUAAUGUAGGACAGCGGAGCCUUCCUGUGUGGCAAGAAUCAAGCAAGCAGUAUUGUAUCGAGACCAAAGUGGUAUCAUGGUCGGUUUUGAUUAGCAGUGGGGACUACCCUACCGUAACACCUUGUUGGAAUUGAAGCAUCCAAAGAAAAUACUUGAGAGGCCCUGGGCUUGUUUUAACAUCUGGAAAAAAGGCUGUUUUUAUAGCAGCGGUUACCAGCCCAAACCUCAAGUUGUGCUUGCAGGGGAGGGAAAAGGGGGAAAGCGGGCAACCAGUUUCCCCAGCUUUUCCAGAAUCCUGUUACAAGGUCUCCCCACAAGUGAUUUCUCUGCCACAUCGCCACCAUGGGCCUUUGGCCUAAUCACAGACCCUUCACCCCUCACCUUGAUGCAGCCAGUAGCUGGAUCCUUGAGGUCACGUUGCAUAUCGGUUUCAAGGUAACCAUGGUGCCAAGGUCCUGUGGGUUGCACCAGAAAAGGCCAUCAAUUUUCCCCUUGCCUGUAAUUUAACAUUAAAACCAUAGCUAAGAUGUUUUAUACAUAGCACCUAUGCAGAGUAAACAAACCAGUAUGGGUAUAGUAUGUUUGAUACCAGUGCUGGGUGGGAAUGUAGGAAGUCGGAUGAAAAGCAAGCCUUUGUAGGAAGUUGUUGGGGUGGGAUUGCAAAAAUUCUCUGCUAAGACUUUUUCAGGUGGACAUAACAGACUUGGCCAAGCUAGCAUCUUAGUGGAAGCAGAUUCGUCAGUAGGGU
rnacentral:lncRNA from 1 species